rnacentral:lncRNA from 1 species
GCGAAACGACUGCUCAAAUUCGCAAUAACGGAAAAUACUGUGAAUAUCAUAAAGACAAAUGUCACACGACCAACGAAUGUCGAGCUUUAGCCAAAGUCCUACUAGAACAAAAACAACUAAGUAAAUCUAAUAAACAAAGCAAACACGUCUAAAACCAUAUUCAUGAUCACAACAUACACAAACAUCAAAAGGUCUUUAGAAGUAUUGACAAUAGACCAACCAGCAAAAAGACCCAAAUCAAAGCAAGAACCAAUAAGCUUUUCAACCGAAGACCUUAAAGGAAUAGAAACCCCACACCAAGAUCCUUUAGUAAUAUCAGCAAUCCUAAACGAUUACAUGGUUCACAGAAUAUUAGUAGAUACCGGAGCUUCAAUUGAUAUUCUAUAUUGGGACACAUUCGAAAAUAUGAAUAUAAAAGAAAAAGACCUCACAGUAUGCCACUGCCCAAUAAAAGGAUCCAGACAAGUAAAAGUUCUGGUAGUCGGAAAUAUCCUAUAUAUUAUCAGUAACAUUAGGAGAAGACAAAUUUAUCACAACAAAAAACGUCACAUUCACAAUAGUCUGGUUCACUUUAGCCUAUAACGCCAUUUUAGGAAGAACUAGCCUACAUGAAUUUGGAAUAGUAACAUCCUCAUUUCACCAAUGUAUGAAAUUCCAAACAAACGAAGGAAUAUGUUGCAUCAGAGGCUCCCAAUCCUUAGCCAAAACAUGCAAUAUAUCGGCAAUUCAAUGCCAAGAUAAUGCAGUCCUUGCCAGAAAAAGAAGAACACUGGAAGUAUUACAAAAUUCAACACCAAAAUAUCUAAAUUUACCUAAAAAACCU